ACAAGGCCAAGUUCUUGAUGAUGUAAGUAAUUUGUUUCUUCAAGAAACCGGGUUUCUUGAAGAAACAAAUUACUUACAUCAUCAAGAACUUGG
rnacentral:pre_miRNA from 1 species